AUUGAACGCUGGCGGCAGGCCUAACACAUGCAAGUCGAGCGAGCGGCGGACGGGGGAGUAAUGUCUGGGAAACUGCCUGAUGGAGGGGGAGAACAACUGGAAAAGGUAGCGAAUAAAGCAUACCAUCAGAUGUGCGCAGAUGGGAUUAGCUAGUAGGUGGGGUAAUGGCUCACCUAGGCGACGAUCCCUAGCUGGUCUGAGAGGAUGACCAGCCACACUGGAACUGAGACACGGUCCAGACUCCUACGGGAGGCAGCAGUUGGGAAUAUUGCACAAUGGGCGCAAGCCUGAUACAGCCAUGCCGCGUGUAUGAAGAAGGCCUUCGGGUUGUAAAGUACUUUCAGCGGGGAGGCGUUACUCGCAGAAGAAGCACCGGCUAACUCCGUGCCAGCAGCCGCGGUAAUAC
rnacentral:rRNA from 1 species